CGGUAGCACAGAGAGCUUGCUCUCGGGUGACGAGUGGCGGACGGGUGAGUAAUGUCUGGGAAACUGCCUGAUGGAGGGGGAUAACUACUGGAAACGGUAGCUAAUACCGCAUAACGUCGCAAGACCAAAGAGGGGGACCUUCGGGCCUCUUGCCAUCAGAUGUGCCCAGAUGGGAUUAGCUAGUAGGUGGGGUAACGGCUCACCUAGGCGACGAUCCCUAGCUGGUCUGAGAGGAUGACCAGCCACACUGGAACUGAGACACGGUCCAGACUCCUACGGGAGGCAGCAGUGGGGAAUAUUGCACAAUGGGCGCAAGCCUGAUGCAGCCAUGCCGCGUGUAUGAAGAAGGCCUUCGGGUUGUAAAGUACUUUCAGCGGGGAGGAAGGCGAUAAGGUUAAUAACCUUGUCGAUUGACGUUACCCGCAGAAGAAGCACCGGCUAACUCCGUGCCAGCAGCCGCGGUAAUACGGAGGGUGCAAGCGUUAAUCGGAAUUACUGGGCGUAAAGCGCACGCAGGCGGUCUGUCAAGUCGGAUGUGAAAUCCCCGGGCUCAACCUGGGAACUGCAUUCGAAACUGGCAGGCUAGAGUCUUGUAGAGGGGGGUAGAAUUCCAGGUGUAGCGGUGAAAUGCGUAGAGAUCUGGAGGAAUACCGGUGGCGAAGGCGGCCCCCUGGACAAAGACUGACGCUCA
rnacentral:rRNA from 1 species